AUAAAAAUAAGCUAAAUAAAGCUUUUAGGUUCAUACCCUAAAUAUAGAAUAAAAUUCUUUUUUAUA
rnacentral:tRNA from 1 species